rnacentral:lncRNA from 1 species
GCCAACGUAGGCGCUGCUGCCAUUGCUGUUCAUUUAAUUGGGCUGAUGUUUGAAGAAGCUAAUUGGGCUGUCAGAAUUGGUGCUAUACUUUGCAUGGGCUGACUUCCCUUUAGUGGAACGGUGCCAUUUUGAGGAUUCAGCUGCAGCUUCCUUGGGGUUCCUUACCUCAACUCAUUUAGGAAGAAGCACUCUCUUGAACAAAGUUUGGCGAGAAUGAAGAGGUUGAGGAGGAGCUAGGGCUUGACGCACGAGAAAGAACAAGAGAGGAAGAUGAGCUCCACUAAUGCGAUCUUGACCGGAGCUGUCUGUGGAGAGGAUCGAAGGCCUGAAGUUUGAGAAGAGAGGAGAAGCGUCCGAUCAAACAGCGCGAAGCAUCCAAGUGAAAAAAGGUUCCCUUUCCCUUCCC